GCCCGUAUGGCGCAGUGGUUAACGCACUCCACUUGUACUGCCGCAGCACAUGGAGAGAUCCCUCGUUCGACUCGGGGUGCGGGCA